UACGUAGGGUGCGAGCGUUGUCCGGAAUCAUUGGGCGUAAAGCGCGUGUAGGCGGCCCGGUAAGUCCGCUGUGAAAGUCCAGGGCUCAACCCUGGGAUGGCGGUGGAUACUGUCGGGCUCGAGUCCGGAAGAGGCGAGUGGAAUUCCUGGUGUAGCGGUGAAAUGCGCAGAUAUCAGGAGGAACACCAAUGGCGAAGGCAGCUCGCUGGGACGUGACUGACGCUGAGACGCGAAAGCGUGGGGAGCAAACAGG
rnacentral:rRNA from 1 species